rnacentral:rRNA from 14 species
GCUCGCGUUGAUUACGUCCCUGUCCUUUGUACACACCGCCCGUCGCUACUACCGAUUGAAUGGCUCAGUGAGGCCUCCGGACUGGCUCGGAGAGGUUGGCAACGACCACUCCGAGCCGGAAAGUUCGUCAAACUCGGUCAUUUAGAGGAAGUAAAAGUCGUAACAAGGUUUCCGUAGGAACCUGCGGAAGGAUCAUU